rnacentral:lncRNA from 1 species
AGGAGUCUUCCUUCGACUGUGCAAGUCUAUUGUACCGUUAUGGAUUCGGAUUGGACCGAGUGUGCCUCCAAGUAAGAUGAACGGUCUAAGAAUGAAGUAAGGAGGCCCGAAAGGAAGACAACCAAGCAUGUGGUGUAGUUUAGAUUCAUCCUCCAUUUCUCCCCAAGACUAAUCAAAGGAGUUAAUUAUUAUUUCCCUGAUUUCCUCCCCUAUUAAUGUAGCCUGGUCAACUUAGUAAUGUAUCUUUGACUAG